rnacentral:rRNA from 1 species
AGGACGAACGCUGGCGGCGUGCUUAACACAUGCAAGUCGAACGGAAAGGCCCUUCGGGGUACUCGAGUGGCGAACGGGUGAGUAACACGUGGGUGAUCUGCCCUGCACUUUGGGAUAAGCCUGGGAAACUGGGUCUAAUACCGAAUAGGACCACGGCAUGCAUGUGCUGUGGUGGAAAGCUUUUGCGGUGUGGGAUGGGCCCGCGGCCUAUCAGCUUGUUGGUGGGGUGAUGGCCUACCAAGGCGACGACGGGUAGCCGGCCUGAGAGGGUGUCCGGCCACACUGGGACUGAGAUACGGCCCAGACUCCUACGGGAGGCAGCAGUGGGGAAUAUUGCACAAUGGGCGCAAGCCUGAUGCAGCGACGCCGCGUGGGGGAUGACGGCCGUUCGGUUGUAACCCCUUUCAGUAGGGACGAAGCGCAAGUGACGGUACCGUACAGAAGAGCACCGGCCAACUACGUGCCAGCAGCCGC